UUAAACUCCCAACCCAAUGUGAACAUACCAAACUGUUGCCUCGGCGGGGUCACGCCCCGGGUGCGUCGCAGCCCCGGAACCAGGCGCCCGCCGGAGGGACCAACCAAACUCUUUCUGUAGUCCCCUCGCGGACGUUAUUUCUUACAGCUCUGAGCAAAAAUUCAAAAUGAAUCAAAACUUUCAACAACGGAUCUCUUGGUUCUGGCAUCGAUGAAGAACGCAGCGAAAUGCGAUAAGUAAUGUGAAUUGCAGAAUUCAGUGAAUCAUCGAAUCUUUGAACGCACAUUGCGCCCGCCAGUAUUCUGGCGGGCAUGCCUGUCCGAGCGUCAUUUCAACCCUCGAACCCCUCCGGGGGUCCGGCGUUGGGGAUCGGGAACCCCUAAGACGGGAUCCCGGCCCCGAAAUACAGUGGCGGUCUCGCCGCAGCCUCUCAUGCGCAGUAGUUUGCACAACUCGCACCGGGAGCGCGGCGCGUCCACGUCCGUAAAACACCCAACUUCUGAAAUGUUGACCUCGGAUCAGGUAGGAAUACCCGCUGAACUUAAGCAUAUCAAUAA
rnacentral:rRNA from 1 species